rnacentral:rRNA from 1 species
CUACGGGGCGCAGCAGUGAGGAAUAUUGGUCAAUGGACGAGAGCCUGAACCAGCCAAGUCGCGUGAAGGAUGAAGGUGCUAUGCAUUGUAAACUUCUUUAGUCGGGGAGCAAAGAGCGGACGCGUCCGAAGAUGAGCGUACCCGAAGAAUAAGCAUCGGCUAACUCCGUGCCAGCAGCCGCGGUAAUACGGAGGAGGCGAGCGUUAUCCGGAUUUAUUGGGUUUAAAGGGUGCGCAGGCGGACGGUAAAGUCAGCGGUGAAAUGUCGGGGCUCAACCCCGGCCUGCCGUUGAAACUGGCCGACUAGAGUUCGAUGGAGGUAGGCGGAAUGCGUGGUGUAGCGGUGAAAUGCAUAGAUAUCACGCAGAACUCCGAUUGCGAAGGCAGCCUACCAUUUCUGGACUGACGCUGAGGCACGAAAGCGUGGGGAUCGAACAGGAUUAGAUACCCCCGUAGUC